UACAUUAUCAAUAAUAAGCCAAUUAUAUCUUUCUUCUUUUAAAAAAGUAUAACAAAAGUAUUUUUUAUAAUCAUAAUGUGACAAAGAACCUAAAAAAAAAAAAAAGAAUUUUUUUCUAGAAUCAAUAAGAGUUGAGCUGGAAUACUAUCGGUAGCAAACGGACUUCGUUGCCACCCAUUUGUUUUCAAUGAUGGAGCCUCCAAAUCAACGAUCGGUACUGUUAAAAAUGAUCUAUACCACUUGAAGUAUCUAGAAAUCAAAUUUCAUGCUUUUUUGAUAUUAUUCUCUUAUUCAUCAAGUGGGCGUAAAAAUGAACGGCUGAAAAUGAAUAUCCUUUAAAAAGUGAUGAUAGGAAUUUUAUAAUCAAGAUCGAGAGUAUAGAUCUUGUUCUAAAUAGUUUAAAGAAUUUUCUAACAAAAAUUCAAUUGAUUUGAAUAGCUUUACACCGUUAAACGAAAAAACGUCUCAUAUCGACUAUUAAAAUUACAAAAUUUGAAACCCUUUGAUCAUUAGGUCAAUGAUGUUGAAAAGAUUUGAAAUUUGAUUUCUAGAUACUUCAAGUGAUAUAAAUUAUGAUCAACAAUACCGAUCGUCGAUUUGAAGGUUCCAUCAUCGAAAAUAAAUGGAUGGCAACGGAGCCCGUUUGCUACCGAUAGCAUUCCAGCUCAACUCAAAUCAAUAAUGGAAAAGCACUUCCCA
rnacentral:lncRNA from 1 species